ensembl:snRNA U2 U2 spliceosomal RNA
AUCGCUUCUCGGCCUUUUGGCUAAGAUCAAGUGUAGUAUCUGUUCUUAUCAGUUUAAUAUCUGAUAUGUCCUCUAUAUGGGGACUACAUAUUAAAUGGAUUUUUAGCCUCGGGAGCUGAAACAGGGGCUUGCUCCGUUCACUCCACGCAUCGACCCGGUAUUGCAGCGCCGCCGGGAACGGUGCACCCCUC